UCCCCGCAGGGGGGAGGAGCCGGGGCGGGAGGUUUGCGCGAGGCAGGUGCCGUGAGGGGAACACGUCGGGGGGGGAGGGUGAGGAGCGCGCAGCUCAAGCGUUUCGUGCCCGUUGCUGGCAGCAAUGCCCCGUCCCCGGGGGCGUCUCUCCGCCUCCGCCCAGGCCAGGGUAACGGUGCCGCCGUCACCAGGGGAGCGACUGAGUCACAAACCUACUUCCUGAAGCCCGCUCCCGCGUGGAUCGGGGCGGGGGGGCCGCGCGGAGGCUGCCCCGGUUUGGUUCCGUGGCUUGGGCUGCGAAGCGUGGGCUCCCCUCGGGGCGGGCCCUGAGCCCGGGCGCUGGGCAGAUGCGCUGUUAGCGAGGGGACAGACCUACCCAGGGGGAAGGGCAGUCUGGGAUUUGAGGCAAGUGUCACCCGUCUGGGGCACCCCGGGGGCACGGCUAGGCCAGACCGUUGGAAGAAGGUCGCGCUGGGUGAGGCUGGUAAGCCCGCCUCACAAAACUGGUUUGUUACCCUGGCAACUUAUCCCACCCUCAGCCGCUUCGUAAGGGUGGUGCUGUGCUAACCGCAGUGAGGUCUUGAGAGAGGAUUGCAGCAGUUACACCCAGACUGUGGAGGGGGGCCUGGGCCACUCCUGCCCUACCCCAUGGGGUGGGCCCUGUGUAGCUUCAGGAGGAGCCAACAGUCAGUGCUGGCUCCGGCUCCUGGGUUGGUCUAUGGCUUCUUCACUAUAAAAAGAAAGAAAAAAUGAAGAGGCAACACUGCCACUGAGAUCCAUCUGCAGCUGAGAAUGGUUGAGAAGGAACUUAAGGGUUGGGUUGUGCAUGUACUACAUGAGGCACAAACAGCACUGCAAGACGACUUCUGCGCUUGUGCAACCCGACUGAACACUGCUUUGGAAAAUCUCCGAUCUGCGGCGCAGGGACGCACCAACACCUAAAGUGGAGCACUCACAGGUACACACAUCUUGAAGGACCAUCGUUGCUGCACGAGCCUCUGUUUUCCGAGAACUGAGCUCAAAACACUAGGGAGGCUCUGGCCAACUCUGUGGCUAAGGAGUGGGACUUCAAUGCUGGAUGAGCUCUGGACCCAGAGGCGAACUAUUGACUUACCUAGUGCUUUGAAAAGUAGCGUGGUCCAGUCAUGAAGUUGUCUCUGCCUCCAGUGCUGAGGAAGCCCUCAUGGAGCUCUCAGGGAGGAAGAGCUUCAAAUGAGACUCUGUUUUGGGGUUCUUUUAGAAAAGGUGCAGCAUGCAGAACACUUGUGUGGUCUAGGCACUUACCCCAGACGAAGAAGGCACUUUGUGUGUCCAUCAUUGAUUGGAAUGGCUCCCUCACAAGAGGGGCAGAUUUUGAAUCCUGGGGAGUACGACUCCACCAUGUUCAAGAGGUGGUGUGGUUGGUGCACAGAGGCAGCACAAGGAUUUGAAGACCUCAGUUAUCAAUCUGAGAUUUUAUUUUAUUGCCAAUGGGCUGAAAACAACAACAAAUUAGAACUAACAACUGGAAGAAUAAAGUUGCACAGUAUGUGGAAAUGCAGACACUGCUGGUGUUCCAUCUUGCAGUCAUGGGCAGCAAGAAGGAAUGGGAGAGCAGUUGAAGCUGCCCUACCCUUUUUUCCCUCUGCUUUGGACAGCACAACUGUGGCCCAACUGACACUGCUGUUCAGAAUGAUUCCAGUCUCACGGGGUAGGGCACACACGCAUCAGAAGUGGAAUACAUGUGGACAAUCGAACAACCAGAGUUCUGAUUUUUGUCUUGUACCUUACAAUGCACCCAAUGUAUAUGUAUAUUGCAAUUUAAUGUUCUUGCUGCCAUGUGUUGUUUCUCUGAUCCCCAUCUCCUUAUGUUGUUACAACACUACAGGAAAUCUCCUUUAGGAUAUGCUCCUCUUUUGCUCAGGAGCGGAAAAGGAAUGGAAUGAUCGGAUAUGUGUGAAGAGAUUAGCCACUCAUAAGCACAGUAAGUUUGCUACAUGCUAUGCUGUGGAUUUUCUGAGAAACUGAUGUAAAACAAAUGUCAGGGAGUGAGGGUAGCAUCUCUGGAAAGCUGUGUAGAACUAAAUAUAGGACCCUAUGAAAUCCGUGUUAAUGAGAACACUGACGAAGUCACAAUCAAAAUGACAUGGAAUCCAGGCUCUGCCUGGCAUUAGGCUCACACCGGCAACUGGACAGGGUGGGCUGCUCUACCUGCAGCUGCAGCCACUGGAGGUAAGAGACCAGGGGGUAUGGGGAGAGGGUGCAGGGGGCUAGGGCCAUCCGGGAGUGCAGGGAUUAGGGGAGAGAGGCUAGCAUCUGGGAUUUAAGGCCAGCUUCUGAGAACUCUGUUUCUUUGCUGUGUCAGUUUCAUGCCAGGAGUUGCAGUGGAGCUGAGGUGCUCCUCUGGGAUAUUGGCAUCACGGUAAGGGGGAAGCUGACAUUCCCUCGGGGCGCAAUGUCAAUGAAAGUAUUCGGUGCCCAAGGAAGCACAGGUUCAUCUGAAAGAACCUCUUCACGCUCCUUUAUGUGGUAUCAGUGUCUCAUGCCUCCAAAAACACACGUACACCCACAAAACCAGAAUGUGUAUGUAUGUGAUACGAAGAGACGAAUGCCUAAAGGAGCAGAGGUUGUCCUACCUUACAUCAUCUUCUCUGUAAGCUCUGUAGACACAAAGAGAAGCUUUAAUAAAUAUAAAAAAUCUACUUACAGAGAAGAGGGAAUCGCUUUCUGAGAAAAACACUAAAAGGCUAGCCAUAAAUUACCACAAGGGAGAUGUCUAAAAUAAUGACUGUCAAUUUGUAAUUAUACUCAGCAAUAAACUGUUGAUUUAAUAGGUUGAAAUUAUUUAAUCAAAUCUGAAAUUAAUAUAAGCAUUCCUUCAAAGUACCGAGUUUAAUUUAAAAUGGCAACAACGCGUCUGCUGCAAGGAUGGAUUAUUUUAUGUUUAGUGCAUUUUUUAUUUUGUUAAUUAUUCAAAUAUGAAUUCAGUUAAAUUGAUACUAUAAGAGUCUCUUACUUCUGGGGCCUUCGUGUGUUACUGUUCAGCAAUGUCACUUUGGUCAUAAUACCAUAUGCUAUUUUAAAAUGUGUUACCUUUACCUUGUACUGUGUAUCUGCAGGAUAUUUGGUUUGAUUUUACAAAAAUAAACCCUUCAAUUUAGUUUUUCCCAUUGUAAUACAAUUCUGAACAUUUUUAUGCAUUUAUAGUAAGGCUACUUAAUUGUUAAUGUAUCAAACAAUUUUGAUUAAAAAACCAUAAAGAUGGAAUUUUUUAAUGGAAAAAACAAAAUCAGAAAAUCCACAAUAAUAAAAUGGAUUUCAUAGGGCCCUAUAAGUAGCUACGUGUACCUGCUGCAGAGAAAGAGGGGCUACUGUUUGUGGCAAGCUUUUUUUCAAGCCCCUUGCAGCUUGUGAUGAAGACCUCUCUUGGCCACACAUUUGUCACUUGUGUAUGCUCAAAGUUGCUAUAAUGUAUGCUGUUCAUCCCUAGGGUAUGUCUGAUUGCUGAUUAAGUUAUUGAUUGCUAGGGCAGCACAAGUGAAAGUUCUUGUGUUUAAUUGCAUUGUUUCCAAGAGACUUUACAUUGUACAGGAAGAAUUCAACAAUUCUCAUGCUUUAGCAUUUCCCUGAUUCCUCCCACACUUACCCAGGCUGCACCCUUAUCUUUAGCUAUUUGUGGAUUGUUUGUAGAAUACCAGUUUUUGUUGUAAUUCAUAAAGCUUCUUACCAAACAGGUGGUUUGGGCUUUUGGAAGCUGGAUAUAUUAGAAGCAUUUAUAUAUUGCUAUACUUUUCUUUACUCGAUGUAAAACACAAAUGCCAUCACAAAUGUAAAAGCAACUCCAGUUUGAAGUGUAUUCUUAUUCUUGUGCCAAAAAAGUUGGAAGACUACUAGUGUUUUUCUAGAAACCAGAUUCAAUAUAAAUGGGAGACAAGUAUGUUAACUAGGAUCUUUUAUUGCUGGACUUUCUUUGAGCAAAUAAUCAAUAUUUCUUAAAGGCUGAGGUCAUCAAUAAGGGCUAGUACAUGUUUAUAUAUUUAUUGCUAUGGACAAAAGACAUUAUCAAUUCAAGUUUUACCUUUAUAUUACAACUUUUCCAUACAAAAAUAAAAGUCCCAAAUCAGCUUUACUAGUAGCUGAUAGCACUGACUUAUUUACAGGUGCUUUGUCAAGAACCAUCAUUAGGCAGCAGGGUAAAAUAUUGAGAGGCAUUUAUAACAAUACAAUAGUUUAACUAUAUAUAAUUUUUCUCCUGUUUAACUUCUACUUUGAAGAGUUCUGACCUUUUCUGAUUGGUUUAUUUUGGAGCAUCCAAUCAGAGUUUUAUAAGAAUAGCAUCUUUAAAAGAAAUGUUUAAUAUUUAAAAUUUUAAAUUGAAACAAAUUAAAGAAUAUUGUAACUGCAUUUCCUUAUUAGAGCAGUUUAUAAAUAGUUGCUCGGCUACAUAUCUAUUUAUAAUACAGCACAUAUAGAAUGCAGACUUGCUACAGAUGUGGUAAAAUGCAUUUGUAAUAGUAAAUCAAAAAGAUAUGAAAGUCCCAGAUUUUGAUUUGUUAAUAAAACUGGCUUAUAAAAGUAACUGUAAAAUUGAAACAACUAUAACUCUCUGGACUAUUAAAAUUUACAGAAAGACUGUUUACAUCAUUGCACAUCAUUAUUCUCUUUGCUUUAAAUGCUUGUGAAAUAUGGAAUAAAAUUAGAAUCUACAUAGGUCAUAUGCAUGCACACAGAAGCAUGCAUCCAUGAAAACAAAACACACUGUUAACUAAGUCCAUAAGGAAGGCUGCCAGCA